rnacentral:rRNA from 1 species
UACGGAGGGUGCGAGCGUUGUCCGGAAUCACUGGGCGUAAAGGGCGCGUAGGUGGCGCGGGCAGUCAACGGUGAAAGUUCGGGGCUCAACCCUGAAUCGGCCGUCGAUACUCCCGAGCUCGAGCACUGUAGAGGCAGAUGGAAUUCCUGGUGUAGCGGUGAAAUGCGCAGAUAUCAGGAGGAACACCGAUGGCGAAGGCAGGUCUCUGGGCAUUAACUGACGCUGAGGAGCGAAAGCGUGGGGAGCGAACAGG